rnacentral:lncRNA from 1 species
AAUCGCCAGUGGCCGAUGAUUUAAUUAACAGUGCAUAUGUAAUGAAGGCUACAUAAAAACCCAAAACAGAGAGGGUUCAGAGAGCUUCCAGGUAAUAUGGCUCCAUUAUUUGAAAUUCUCCAGUGGCUCCCGCUGUCUUUGAGAGUGAAAGCCGAAGACCUUACAGUGGCUCCCUAGGCCCACAAGGAUCUGCCUCCAUCCUCACUCCCGUUACCUCCCUGACCCUGUUCCGUUCUGUCCUCCUUGCUCAUUCUGCUGAGGCCAGCUGGCGUCCUUGUUAUUCCUCAAGCACAUCAGCCAUAUUAUGAAUGAAUCUUCAGCAAGUGGGUGACUUCCAUCAGUGGCAGAACUGUGAACAGUGAGAAGCUGGUUCCUUUCAAACUCCCCUAUAUGUUUUUCCACGUGGUUUUCUUGAGCCUCUGCCUCCCUAAGCACUUCAGGUCCAGGUUCAUUGUCUGCUGUGGCUGAUGUGGAAGGUUUGAAAUAUGACAGUAUGCCUGACUGCUUAGCCUCUGUAACGACUCACUGCAAAACAAAUGCAGGACGCUAUUUUCACCUUUUUUCGUAAAAGUGAAAAUCCUCUUCGGAUUUCUUCAGUGAAGACAGAAAAUAGAUGGCUCUCCAGGAACCAGGAAUUGGACCCUCACCAAACGUGGAAUCUGCCAGCAUCAGCACCUGAUCUUGCACUUCAGAUCCAAGUCUCUAGAACUCCAUGUGAGGACAUAGAGAGAAAAUGGCCGUGUCUGAAUCAGGAAGCAGGCUCUCACCAGACACCAAAUCUGCCAGCACCCUGAUCUUGGACUUCCCAGCCUCCAGAACUGUGAGAAAUAAAGUUUGUUGUUUAAGCCACUGAGUUUAUGCCAUUUUUGUUAGAACAGCCUGAACAGAUUAAGACACACAUCUCUUACAUGUUCCUAAAGUGGCAAAAAAAGGUAUAUGUUGAUUAAUAUGACCCAAACCUAUAGCCUGUCUACAGCAUAUAAAAAUGAAAAGCAGGCACCAGCCCGGUUGUGCAGUGGUUAAGUUCACAGGUUCCGCUUCGGCUGCCCUGGGUUUGCUGGUUCAGAUCCCAAGUGUGAACACGGCACCGCUUGGCAAGCUAUGCUGUGGCAGGCAUCCCACAUAUAAAGUAGAGGAGGAUGGGCAUGGAUGUUAGCUCAGGGCCAGUCUUCCUCAACAAAAAAGAGGAGAAUUGGCAGCAGAUGUUAGCUCAGGGCUAAUCUUCCUCAAAAAAAAAAAAAAAGAAAAAAAGAAAGAAAAAGUAUGUAAUAAUUAUCCAUUAAUUAACUCAAUUUAAUAUCAGGCCAAGGCUGGAUGGGGAAAGAGCUGGAAGAUGACAGUGGAUAAGACAAAAGAAUCAAAGAGAGCUUUGAGGUUUUGAUUUUGGGUUGCUCCAGGGAUGGGAAUGCCAGGAAGAGAGAGAAAGAUUGCAAGGUGGUUAGCACAUUUCCUGGAAGGUGAUGAUUUUCGUUUGGGACAUAAGGAGUUGGAGAUGUCAAAACAAUCAGAGGGAAACGGCCAGCAAGCAUUUGGCCAUACAUCACUAGCUAUUUGAAAGACCUGUCAGGGCAUUUAUUUGGGCUGGGUCUUAAAUGGUGACAGAUUUGUGAAUUGUCUUUAUUGGGGUGAUAGUUGAGGUCAUGCAAAUAGAUGAAAUAGCCAAAGUGAACAUUUAGAGAAACAAAUUUGCUUCAGAACUUAAUUGUUAUUCUGUGAAUAAGUAUUACUUCAUUUGUUCCUGAAAAAGUGUUUCUUAUAAUGGUUUUAAAAGUGCAAAAGCCAAAAGAGGCUAUCAACAUAGCAUGGUCAGGUUUGAGGUCAACAACACAAUGUAAAAAAAACAUGUUGGUGAAUCCCUAAACCAGACUCAGAGAAGUAUGCCAGUUUCACCCUCCUUCUCUCUACUUGGAACUUUCUUUUGCAUUGGUUUCCUUUACUCUGUGACUUGCUUGAUUUUUUAGCACGUUAAUUUCUUGUUGUGCCUGACUUGGAUCUGUAUAACAUUGUUCUGAU